UGCUGUGGGGGGCUGUUCAACUAAAAAGCCACAUGGGGGACACCACCACCAAGAUCGCCCUCCCUCCCUGUCAGCAGCGGCGGCCGAGGCCGCAACUUACCCCAUCGACAUCACCAAAACCCGACUCCAGCUCCACGGCGGAUCCCGUCGCCGCUCCGAUCCGGUCGGUCGCCUCCGGGAUCUGGCGCGAGGGCGGGGUUCUGGGGUUCUACAGGGGGCUCUCGCCUGCGAUCCUCCGCCAUCUGUUCUACACCCCGAUGAGGAUUGUUGGGUAUGAGCAGCUCAGGAGCGUUGCUGGGGACUCGGCGAUCGAGAAGGCGGUCGCUGGUGGGUCUUCUGGGGUUGUUGCUCAGGUCGUAGCUAGCCCAGCUGACCUUAUAAAAGUAAGGAUGCAAGCAGAUGGCCGUAUGCUAAGUCAAGGUCUCCAACCCCGAUAUUCAGGGAUUUUUGAUGCAUUUAAAAAGAUAAUCCAGACAGAAGGCUUCCAAGGACUCUGGAGAGGGGUACUUCCUAAUGCUCAAAGAGCAUUCCUUGUCAACAUGGGGGAACUGACUUGCUAUGACCAAGCCAAGCAUUUCAUCAUAAAUCAUCAAAUUUGUGGUGAUAAUAGUUUUGCCCACACUUUGGCAUCUGUUGCUUCUGGUCUCUCUGCAACCGCACUUAGUUGCCCAGCCGAUGUGAUAAAGACUAGAAUGAUGAAUCAAGCUGUGGGUAAAGGGGAAUCCAGGACUGUUUAUCGGAAUUCUUAUGAUUGUCUGGUGAAAACUGUGAAGUUGGAAGGUGUGAUGGCAUUGUGGAAGGGUUUCUUUCCUACAUGGGCCAGGCUCGGUCCUUGGCAAUUUGUAUUCUGGGUUUCUUAUGAGAAGUUUCGUCAAGUUUCUGGUCUUUCUUCCUUCUGAUAAAUGUUACUUGAGCUGGUUGCAGUCAUAUUCUCAACUGGCUGGUAUUGUAUUCAACGCAGCGGUAGUGCAUAGAACAUCGGUGCAGCUGACACAGGAAAUUUUUGUUUCAAGUUUUGUUAUAUUGAAGAAACUGUAAGAGCUCGAGGAAAUUGUAUUAAGGUCCUAAGGGGAAAAAAAAACAUCCUACCAAUGCAUUCAAAUUUAUGAAUUAGAAUCAUCAUUGAGCCCUUCUCGGGUGUAAUAAGUUGAUUCUUGAAGGAACAUGCAUUAUGUCCUUUGAAGUGUGUACUAUCCCAUUGAAAGGGAAAAAAAAUCCUCAAAGUUCAUAUUGCACAGAGUAGGAAGGGGAUACGACUUGUUUUUCUUUGUCUGUUUCUUGUCGAUGGUACUUUUGAUGUGCAUGUCUUCAGAGGCGAGGGGCGAACUUGAUCGAUGAUUUGUUCUUUCCUUUAUUUUAGUAAACUGAUGUUGUCA